AUUGAACGCUGGCGGCAGGCUUAACACAUGCAAGUCGAGCGGGGGAAGGUAGCUUGCUACCGGACCUAGCGGCGGACGGGUGAGUAAUGCUUAGGAAUCUGCCUAUUAGUGGGGGACAACAUCUCGAAAGGGAUGCUAAUACCGCAUACGUCCUACGGGCGAAAGCAGGGGAUCUUCGGACCUUGCGCUAAUAGCUGAGCCUAAGUCGGAUUAGCUGGGUGGUGGGGUAAAGGCCUGCCAAGGCGACGAUCUGUAGCGGGGCUGAGAGGAUGGUCCGUCACUCUGGGACUGAGACACGGCCCAGACUCCUACGUGAGGCAGCAGUGGUGAAUAUUGGACAAUGGGGGGAACCCUGAGCCAGCCAUGCCGCGUGUGUGAAGAAGGCCUUAUGGUUGUAAAGCACUUUAAGCGAGGAGGAGUCUACUCUAGUUAAUACCUAGGGAUAGUGGACGUUACUCGCAGAAUAAGCACCGGCUAACUCUGUGCCAGCCGCCGCCGUAA
rnacentral:rRNA from 1 species